AUUGAACGCUGGCGGCAUGCCUUACACAUGCAAGUCGAACGGUAACAGGUCUUCGGAUGCUGACGAGUGGCGAACGGGUGAGUAAUACAUCGGAACGUGCCCGAUCGUGGGGGAUAACGAGGCGAAAGCUUUGCUAAUACCGCAUACGAUCUACGGAUGAAAGCGGGGGAUCUUCGGACCUCGCGCGGACGGAGCGGCCGAUGGCAGAUUAGGUAGUUGGUGGGAUAAAAGCUUACCAAGCCGACGAUCUGUAGCUGGUCUGAGAGGAUGAUCAGCCACACUGGAACUGAGACACGGCCCAGACUCCUACGGGAGGCAGCAGUGGGGAAUUUUGGACAAUGGGCGAAAGCCUGAUCCAGCCAUGCCGCGUGCAUGAUGAAGGCCUUCGGGUUGUAAACUGCUUUUGUACGGAACGAAAAGCCUCUUUCUAAUAAAGAGGGGUCAUGACGGUACCGUAAGAAUAAGCACCGGCUAACUACGUG
rnacentral:rRNA from 1 species